ensembl:lncRNA
AAAAUGUGUAAAUAUUAAGUAACAACCUUUUUCAACAUGACAUUUCUGAUUAAAUACCAAGUAUACUUUGGUACGUCUAAAGGGAGCACUUGUUAACGGUCUGUAUGUGACUCUAACCCUAGGUAGUGCAGUUAAAGUCCUGUCUCAGCCGGGGAACACAGUCGAGUUUCCAUGUGACUACAGCUAUGAAGACCAUCAGGACAUCCCACAGCUGUCUGUCCAGUGGAGAGGCCCGAGCAACACGCUCCUCUGUCACUACAUCAAACACAAGGCCUUCCAGAACUGCACCCAGGGCUAUUCACUGGACUACACGCCUAGGAAGAUCACUCUGAGCAUCACAGAGGUCAGAACGCAAGACUUCGGAUCUCACGUCUGCUCCGUUAGCAAGAGACACGAGUUCACGGACUUUAGCAUCGAGCUAGCCAUGAAGACGGGUGGGUUGGUUUCGUCUAUAUUGUCUGACUUUAGCAUCGGGCUAGCCAUGAAGACAGAUCCCAUCACUUCCUUACCGACGAACAGGUGGGCUCAGUCAGGUCUUCCUGAGGGACAUCUUGUUGUCCUUGUCUGCUCUGUGUUGGUCAGCACCUGGGGAUGAACAGUAAAAAUACUGGGAAAAUAAAGAACAGAUUGAGA